rnacentral:rRNA from 1 species
GGGGAAUAUUGCACAAUGGGGGAAACCCUGAUGCAGCGACGCCGCGUGAAGGAAGAAGUAUCUCGGUAUGUAAACUUCUAUCAGCAGGGAAGAAAAUGACGGUACCUGACUAAGAAGCCCCGGCUAACUACGUGCCAGCAGCCGCGGUAAUACGUAGGGGGCAAGCGUUAUCCGGAUUUACUGGGUGUAAAGGGAGCGUAGACGGAUGGACAAGUCUGAUGUGAAAGGCUGGGGCUCAACCCCGGGACUGCAUUGGAAACUGCCCGUCUUGAGUGCCGGAGAGGUAAGCGGAAUUCCUAGUGUAGCGGUGAAAUGCGUAGAUAUUAGGAGGAACACCAGUGGCGAAGGCGGCUUACUGGACGGUAACUGACGUUGAGGCUCGAAAGCGUGGGGAGCAAACAGGAUUAGAUACCCUGGUAGUCCACGCGGUAAACGAUGAAUGUUAGGUGUCGGGUGAC